rnacentral:rRNA from 1 species
CCUACGGGAGGCAGCAGUCGAGAAUCUUCGGCAAUGGGCGCAAGCCUGACCGAGCGACGCCGCGUGUGGGAUGAAGGCCUUCGGGUUGUAAACCACUGUCAGAGGGGAUGAAAUGCAGGUGGGUUCUCCCAUCUGUUUGACAUAGCCUCAGAGGAAGGACGGGCUAAGUUCGUGCCAGCAGCCGCGGUAAGACGAACCGUCCGAACGUUAUUCGGAAUCACUGGGCUUAAAGGGUGCGUAGGCGGCGCGGAAAGUUGGGUGUGAAAUCCCUCGGCUUAACCGAGGAACUGCGCCCAAAACUACCGUGCUCGAGGGAGAUAGAGGUGAGCGGAACUUAGGGUGGAGCGGUGAAAUGCGUUGAUAUCCUAAGGAACACCGGUGGCGAAAGCGGCUCACUGGAUCUCUUCUGACGCUGAGGCACGAAAGCUAGGGUAGCGAACGGGAUUAGAUACCCCGGUAGUCCUAGCCGUAAACGAUGAGCACUGGAUUGGAGGGUCCUCCAUAGCCUUCCAGUCGCAACGAAAGCGUUAAGUGCUCCGCCUGGGGAGUGUGGUCGCAAGGCUGAAACUUCAAAUGAAUUGNGNGNGNGNGNGCGAGCGACGACGAGGAGAG